rnacentral:ribozyme from 1 species
UUAGUAGUAACAAAGCUCUAGCAAGAGCCUACCAGGUCGAGAGGUCGAGAGUGAUAUCGACUCUGAAGUCGGGAAGGUGUGCUAAUUCUGCUUCCUCAGAGCCUCGAAGGCUGACAA